rnacentral:rRNA from 1 species
CCUUGUUGAUCCUGCCAGUAGUCAUAUGCUUGUCUCAAAGAUUAAGCCAUGAAUGUGUAAGUAUGAACUAAUUCAUACUGUGAAACUGCGAAUGGCUCAUUAAAUCAGUUAUAGUUUGUUUGAUGGUACUUGCUACUAGGAUAACCGUAAUAAUUCUAGAGCUAAUACGUGCAACAAACCCGACUUCUGGAAGGGAUGCAUUUAUUAGAUAAAAGGUCGACGCGGGCAUUGCUCGUUGCUCAGAUGAUUCAUGAUAACUUGAUGGAUCGCACGACCUUUGUGCUGGCGAUGCAUCAUUCAAAUUUAUGCCCUAUCAACUUUCGAUGGUAGGAUAGUGGCCUACUAUGGUGGUGACGGGUGACGGAGAAUUAGGGUUCGAUUCCAUAGAGGGAGCCUGAGAAACAGCUACCACAUCCAAGGAAGGCAGCAGGUGCGCAAAUUACCCAAUCCUAACACGGGGAGGUAGUGACAAUAAAUCCUUUAACGAUGAUCCAUUGGAGGGCAAGUCUGGUGCCAGCAUCCGCGGUAAUUCCAGCUCCAAUUGCUUAUAUUUAAGUUGUUGUAGUUAAAAAGCUCGUAGUUGGACUUUGGGUUGGGUCGUUUAGUCCUCCCUUUUGGUGUGCACCGGUCUUCUCGUCCCUUCUACCGGCGAUGCGUUCCUAGCCUUAAUUGGCUUGUGCCUCCGGUGCUGUUACUUUGAAGAAAUUUGGUUGAUCAAAACAAGCCCAAGCUCUAGAUACAUUAGCAUGGGAUAACAUCAUAGGAUUUCGGUCAUAUUAUGUUGGCAUUCGGUAUCGGAGUAAUGAUUAACAAGGACAGUCGGGGGAAUUCGUAUUUCGUAGUCAGAGGUGAAAUUCUUGGAUUUGUGAAAGACGAACAAUUGUGAAAGCAAUUUCCAAGGAUGUUUUCAUUAAUCAAGAACGAAAUUUUGGGACUCGAAGACGAUCAGAUACCGUCCUAGUCUCAACCAUAAACGAUGCCGACCAGGGUCGGCGGAUGUUUCUUUUAGGACUCCGCCGGCACCUUAUAAGAAAUCAAAGUUUUUGGGUUACGGGGGAGUAUGGUUGCAAGGAUGAAACUUAAAGGAAUUAAUGGAAUGGCACCACCAGGAAUGGAGCAUGCGACUUAAUUUGACUCAACACAGGGAAACUUACCAGGUCCACACAUAGUAAGGAUUGACAGACUGGGAGCUCUUUCUUGAUUCUAUAGGUGGUGGUGCAUGGCCGUUCUUAUUUGGUAGAGCGAUUUGUCUGGUUAAUUCCGUUAACGAACGAGACCUCGGCCUGCUAACUAUCUAUACGGAGGAUUCCCUCCGCGACCAGCUUCUUAGACGAUUCGUGUUUUACGAAGUAUGAUGCAUAUGUCGCUCGAAAGGCCUCUCCGGAGCGUUCGACACCGGGAAUUUCAUCAUAGCCUCUAUAUAGAAUAACGUAAUUGGGCGGUUCUCCGUAAGAUUGAGAGCUUAACGCCUUCAGGAUACCGGUGACACUCACUGUUCCCUGACUACAUAGAGGAAUUUGCCUCUACAUAGAAGAACAAUUGGGCG